UACGUGACAUUUCUGUAACGUUGUGUUUUGUCCAAGCUCUUUUUCUGUGAAAGCUGUGGCUGAGAGCAGAGAGACGAUUCAGGCGUAGUGGACCUGGAACUUCGGCGUGAGCCAGAGACAGGUGGUUCACCUGUCCGGAGCAAUUUGGAGGGAAAAAUAGCCGACGCGGAGGCCAGGACGGACGAAGGGAUCCAGCGAAGCAGCCGAGACCAUUUGGGAGAAAGCGCCGCGCUUGGCUUCGCUCAUUGGCUCUACACUUAAGCGUGUGUGUCUGUGUGUGUGAUCUGAGUGUUGGAGGUGCAGGCUUUUGUCUUUAGCUCGGUUGAGAUGGGCUUUGUAACCAGUAUAGCCGCU